rnacentral:tRNA from 1 species
UUCCCACGCCGGGAAUCGAACCCGGGCCUCCUGGGUGAGAGCUAGGUAUCCUAGCCACUAGACCACGUGGGA